UUUUUAAAGGAAUUUUCAUGUUGUUAGUGUGAGACAAGAGAUUAGAAUGCUGGUUUUUAUUUUUUUUGUUUUCUAUUUCUACGCCAUGUGUCAUGUGAUUAAUAGUUAUUCCUUGAAUUUCGAAUUGGUCAAUGCAUCACACUGCCCUUUGUUUUAGUGACGGCUUGAAAUUUUUAUCUUUCUCUUGCCUUCUUUACUCUCAUUUUAUUAUUAUCUUCUUUUUGUUAAAU
rnacentral:lncRNA from 1 species